UACAGUAAAAUAAUGGCUCAAUGUGUUUCAGUCUCCAGGUUCACGUCUCCUCCAUUACAGUAAAAUAAUGUCUCAAUGUGUUUCAGUCUCCAGGUUAACGUCUCCUCCAUUACAGUAAAAUAAUAUAAAUGUGUGUUUCAGUCUCCAGGUUAACGUCUCCUCCAUUACAGUAAAAUAAUAUAAAUGUGUGUUUCAGUCUCCAGGUUAACGUCUCCUCCAUUACAGUAAAAUAAUAUAAAUGUGUGUUUCAGUCUCCAGGUUAACAUCUCCUCCAUUACAGUAAAAUAAUAUAAAUGUGUUUCAGUCUCCAGGUUAACGUCUCCUCCAUUACAGUAAAAUAAUAUAAAUGUGUGUUUCAGUCUCCAGGUUAACGUCUCCUCCAUUACAGUAAAAUAAUGUCUCAAUGUGUUUCAGUCUCCAGGUUAACGUCUCCUCCAUUACAGUAAAAUAAUGUCUCAAUGUGUUUCAGUCUCCAGGUUAACGUCUCCUCCAUUACAGUAAAAUAAUGUCUCAAUGUGUUUCAGUCUCCAGGUUAACGUCUCCUCCAUUACAGUAAAAUAAUGUCUCAAUGUGUUUCAGUCUCCAGGUUAACGUCUCCUCCAUUACAGUAAAAUAAUGUCUCAAUGUGUUUCAGUCUCCAGGUUAACGUCUCCUCCAUUACAGUAAAAUAAUGUCUCAAUGUGUUUCAGUCUCCAGGUUAACGUCUCCUCCAUUACAGUAAAAUAAUGUCUCAAUGUGUUUCAGUCUCCAGGUUAACGUCUCCUCCAUUACAGUAAAAUAAUGUCUCAAUGUGUUUCAGUCUCCAGGUUAACGUCUCCUCCAUUACAGUAAAAUAAUGUCUCAAU